rnacentral:rRNA from 1 species
AUGAACGCUGGCGGCGUGCUUAACCCAUGCCAGUCGAACGGUGAAGCUCCAGCUUGCUGGAGUGGAUCAGUGGCGAACGGGUGAGUAACACGUGAGCAACCUGCCCCUGACUCUGGGAUAACAGCCGGAAACGGCUGCUAAUACCGGAUAUGCACCGUGAACGCAUGUUCUGUGGUGGGAAAGAUUUUUCGGUUGGGGAUGGGCUCGCGGCCUAUCAGCUUGUUGGUGAGGUAAUGGCUCACCAAGGCGUCGACGGGUAGCCGGCCUGAGAGGGUGACCGGCCACACUGGGACUGAGACACGGCCCAGACUCCUACGGGAGGCAGCAGUGGGGAAUAUUGCACAAUGGGCGAAAGCCUGAUGCAGCAACGCCGCGUGAGGGAUGACGGCCUUCGGGUUGUAAACCUCUUUUAGCAGGGAAGAAGCGAGAGUGACGGUACCUGCAGAAAAAGCGCCGGCUAACUACGUG